UGAAUUUUCUUGUGUCAUUUGGCCAGUAGGGCCGGAGUACCGUGUUAUCUCUGCUUUUCUGGUCCUUGAAGCAUGUGCUUCGUCUGCGUAAUGGGCAAAUCAGAGCUGUUUCUGUUUCUAUCCUGUGCUAUUUGAUAAAGCUGGUGGAAGACAAUUGUUGAAUUCUAUAAAUAUAUGGCAAUUGCAUCAGUAAAUGCUAUAUUCGUUUUACAGAAACUUAGGGUCACUGUAGGUAUUCUGUGUUUCUACAUCAAAGCUUCAAAAACAGUUCUGGGGUGUGGAGGUGCACACAGCUUCUACUACCAAGACACACACUCCGUAGCACUCCAGAUACAAAAUAAAACAAGAGGGUUUCUGCCAUUCCUGUUAAAGAGCAAUCUUAAAAGGCAUCCAAGAAAAGUUGGCUCUGUUUUCUGAAUUGCUAGUUGGGAGAACAAAAGCAGCAAGGGAAAGUUUGACUUGACUUCCUCUACAAUUUGUUUAUAUCAUCGGAGCAGAGAAUCUCCAGGCUGGGCUCUCCACUUCCUGAAUGAAGAGAGAGAGAGAAAAAAUGUCCGUGUGUCAAAUUCAUUGAGAUGUGCAAAGUGAUCAGCAAAAAUCCUGAUCGACUAGAGCCCAAAUGGCAAAGGAAGAAUGUUCCUCAAUUCAGCUGCUAUCUGGCAAGAGAGCUGCACAGUCAGUCCUGAUGGCGAGUGUCACCAAAUACCUCCUCCUCCGCCACAGAAAGGACAGGCGGUGAGGGUGCAGCCUCUACUGGCCUGUUGCUAUGGAGUCGGGCUAAUCCAAGAACAUGUUUCAGUCAAUCUAAUCCAAGGACAGAAGUGCUAGCAAUGGAAUAGCACUGAAAUUAUAAAUAUUUACUUGAAAAUAAUGCUCAAGCCAGACUUAACUGAAGUGAUAAGGUUCUGUUUACUUCUCUUGGUAGUAGCCAGCUGAAACAACCAAACCAGUUAAGCAACAUUUUUUUUUUUUUUGUCAGGUAUGUACUGAAUCACUGGCAGCAAACUUCUGGGAUUUUAGGAGAGAGGUUCUCUCUCUCUCUGCUCUGGGCAGAAUGCCUGUUUUUGUUUUGUUUAAGGAAAAAAAUAACAACAACAGAACUUGAGGCUGGCUGAGCUUAUUAGAUUAUUGAUUAUCACUGUUAGUUUCCUGCUGCUUCUAUCGUUGGGGGUGGUAAGGGAGAGGAGGACAAGAAUUUAAAUGAUAAACACCCGGGCUUCUCUCUUCUUCAUGAAAUCUCCCGUGAGGUUUUCCAGCUUGCCUUCCCAUAACUUGAUUCUGUUGAGGUCUGAGAAUAUUGAAAUUGGGGGGUGAAAAGGGUUAAAAAUACAGCUUAGCGGUGAAUGCAUUCAGCUUUAGCACCCUUACUGGAGGCUGUGAUUUCAUUGGCCUUGGAAUACCAGAGGGAAUUACAAAACAUUUAGAUAGAGAGAAGAGAUAGUGUGCAGAUAGAGUGGGGACAGAAUCGAGUGAUAAAGAGAAACAGGCUCAGGGUGGCUACUUUGCUCUGAAGGGUGGGUCGUUCUUGCUAAAGUCCGUUUCUUGGUGAAUUACGGUGGCAGCUCAGAGCUGGGGUAAGAGGAGAAAAUGCCAUCCAAUAAGGGUGGAGGCAGUCUGAAAGAUGAAUAAUAUAACAUGCAGUGAUUUCAAACUUCACGCUUUCUUACUGAAAGUUUUUCUUCCAGUUUGGAAGGCAAGUUUCAAUGGAUUCUCUUGUCUAAUCCCUGCUUCCUGCCAGGCUGCGCUGUUGGUGUUUUCAAGAAGAAACCUGGGCCAUGAUUUGAAUGCUUCAAACACUCAGUGCUCAAUUAGCCCUCUUUUGAAUCCUCUCUGACGGUUGGUUAAAUAUGGGUCGAAAGUGCUUUUUUAAAGUGGAACUGAUCUUGGGGCGAAGUAACUUAAUCUUCUAAGUGUUAAGACGCUGAAAUAUAAUGUUUUAACAGAACAAUUACUAGAAGACAUGGAAAUUGCAUUAUCCUAGGCUCGUGUGUCCAAUUCUAUUUCAUAGACAUGAACAUUUCGAAGUACAAAGGGCUGAUCUACAAAAAGGACACUUGGCUAUUCUUUAUAAAGGUUCCUCUUGUACUUUUACAGAAUGUUUACAAGGUUAAUAAGUAUGCUUUUUUUUUAAAAAAAAUCACUGUAUAUUUUAAAUGGCCCAACGACUGCUCCCAUGUUGAUUUGAGAAUCACUGAAGCUGUCUGAAUGGAGUGGGGAUAUCCUUUGUUUCCCAUUGAUUUGGAAACAAAAGACUCAGAGGAAAAAAAAAGUUUAGUUUGCUUCUGAAUGCUAUAUGCAGAUGAAUGUUCUGCUGAUAAAGUACACCAAGGAUGUGAAAACUUUUUCAAGUCUUAGAACAGAAAGGUUACUUUUGCAGUCCUGCUGCAUGCCUGAACCUGCCUUCGUUUUUCAUUUCUCCUGUUGUGCCCCUGGGCUACCAGAGGGCUACUUAAGUCACACAUCCAAGUUUUCAGAAAAAACAAAGAGCAAUAGAAGAGAAUCACCAUCAAUUGAGGCAAAAAUUGUCUGCUGUUUAUUACUCCGGAAGUACCCCAUGGACAUCAUCAGUAAACAAGGUCCCCCACUCAUUUCUGCCCCUCAUCAUUUGUCCCAAUUUCUCUAUAUCCAAGAGUCUCAUCCUUGGUGCUAAUGAUAUUUUGGACUACAGCAUUCUUUAUUGUUGGCGGCUGGCCCGAGCAUUGUAGGGUGCUCACCAGCAUCUGGUGACAGUGACUGUUUCCUCUAUAGUCAUGAAAAUAAAAAAUGUGAAAAUUGAGAGCUGGGCACAGUGGGUGCACCUGUAGCCCCAGCUACUCAGACAGCUGAGGCAGGAGGUUCCUUUAAGCCUAGGAAUUCUAGUCAAGCCUGGGUAAUGUAGGAAGAUCCUGACUCU